GAGCGUGAGGAAGAACUGGAGACACUGGGUCGAGGCUUCAGCGGGUGGCUGCUGGGCUUGUGCCCUUGUCCUCUGUGGUCCUGGAGAUGGCUGUGGCCCUGCCUUUUGCCUGGUUUUUAAAUGAAGGGAAACUUCCCGGAUGUGGACAAGGUAUCUCCCCAAGAAUACCUCAGCUUGGACAUCCAGGGCUCUGGAACACCAUCCCCAGCAAUCAACUCCAGUGAGCCAUCCCGGCAGACCCUGGCAUCCCUGGUCCCCGGCCAGCAGCCUGGGAAGCGGAGGAGUGAUCUACUGUGGAUCCUGCUGAGGACACACACAAAUCCUCUGCUCAUUUCAGCUGUGCAUUAAUAUAACAUCGGCAUGAUAUCCCAUGUUGCAAAAGGAACCAGGCUGUGUGCCCCUGCUAUGCCUUGGGUCAGGUGCUGUCAUUCUGGCUAAUGUCACAGGAUGGUGACAGUGAGGACCCCUGAACCUGCCUUGCUCUGCAGCUGCCCAGGGGUGAGAGGUUGGGAACUUGCAGCCUCUGCAAGGUAGAUUUGCCAUGAUGCCAAAUGUCUAAACCUCUACUACAUUCUCACACAGGGGACCUUUCUCAGGCUGUAGAGGAAUUUUGUGCUCACUAUGUGGAAUUGUUUUUUCUUUACAAGGGAGCUUCCAUGCUAUGUAAGAUUCAAAACUCUCCAAAACCUGAAACAACCUCUGCUUUCAGAUAACAAAAUCACUUUAGACUUUUUGUUGUUGUUGUUGUUGCUUGUUUUCUUCUGCCAGCCAGUGUCUAGAGUAGGGAAGGUAAAUAAUGACUAAAUUCCUAUUUUGUUUGUUAAUUUUAGUCAUUGGCUGGCCCUACCUAGAGAAUAGAGUUGGGAGUGUUCUGAGGGCCUGUGCUCUGCAAGGGACAGAUCAGAGGUGGAUUUUCAUGUCUGCUCUGGGCACCAGGGGAGAGAGAAGAGAUGGACUGGAAGGGGCUGAGAUGGGUGGAACAGAUUAAAUCCUGUGUAUAGAAGCUGGCCGGAAUGGAAAAUAAAGGUAAUUUCAAUACAAGUCAAUGAAGAAAUGAUUGUACCAACAAAAUUCAAUUGUGAAUCUGCACUUGGGGUCUGAUCUGGGUAGGCCACCCUCUUGCUGGGUGUGCAGUUGACUUUGACAGAGGAUGGGUCAGUCAAGGCUGGCCCCUGGAGAAGGCCGGACUCUAGCUUACUUCUGGCUGGAAGUGAGAAGACUCCCUCUGGGAGUU
rnacentral:lncRNA from 1 species